rnacentral:lncRNA from 10 species
UGCAAGAAUAGCACAAAGAAUUUCUGUAGAUACUUCACCUAGAUUCGCCAAUUGCUGAUACUUGCUUUAUGGUCUCUCUCCUUCCAUAUGUAUGUAAUAUACACAUUAUUUUUCUGACAAUUUCAGAGUAAGUCACAGUCAUGAUGUUCCUUUAUCCCUAAAGAUUCCAGUAAGUAUGCACUAAGAGUAAAGACAUCCUCUUAGUAACUACAGGCACAGUUAUCAAAAUCAGAAAAAGAAUGUAAAAAUAAUACAUGUACAAUACUGUUUUCUAUUCCUCAGACUUUAUUUAUUGUUUUACCAAUCAAUUGUUCCAAUAACAUGUUUUUAUGCAAAAACAUUCUGCUCCAGGAUCCAGUCCAGGGUCACAUGUUGUACUUAUUUCCUAGGUCUCUUCAGUUUUCUUUAAUCUGGGGGAUUCUUUAGUCUGGCUUUCUCUUUUGAGACCUUGACAUUUUGACCACGAUUUUGUAGCAUUUCCUCACCUAGGGGUUGUCUCAUGUUUCUUCCUGAUUAAACUGAGGUUGUGAAUUUCUGGCAGGAGAACCACAGAAGUGAGAUGAUGCCCUUUUCAGAGCAACGUCAGGAACACAUGCUUCCCAGCGCCACACAGUUAAGGAGAUGUCUGACAGUCCUCUUUUCUGUACAGAGUCCAGGUUCCUGAGAGUGAAGAAUGAUGUUCAAAAACCAAGAUCUGUGAGUCACAUGCCACACACCACGUGUUCCCAGCUCUAAGAGGCCUGUUUGUCCCCAUUUUACCACCUCUGGAUUCAGGACACGCCUGGCUGCAUUGUCUCCUUGUCUGCAUAGAAACUUGUGGGACAGAAGCCGCUGGCAGACGUUGGUGGGGACCCUCACAACGCCCCCAAUUCAGGCCCCUGAGGCCACAGGAAAGGAUGUGGCACAAGGAGGCCAACCAUGCAGUCCUGCUUGGAGCGGUGACUGGGAAGACAGACGUACCCUGAAGAAGCACAGAGGAAUCGAGACCAAUUGUUUUUGCCUUAUUUUCCUAGUUAAGUAUACAAAGGAGUGAUAUCAAUAAAAACCUAUGUCUAAAUAAGUAAAAACUGCUCUUUUGACAGGUACGAAAUGAAAACUCUGUGUUGAGAGCAGCUUUCUAGUUUGGGGGACAAUCUUGAUCUCUCUUAGCUGAAUGGGAGUCUUCGAUUCUAUGAAGGGCCAGACGCAUUGCUGGUGGGUGGGUUGGCACAGUCCACUGCAAGCCUUCACCAAUGGCACUGGUGCCGCCGCUGACGCAGGGAGGAGAGGGCUGCUCUGCGGAUUGACCGGUUGGAGGCAGGUGCAGGUUCCAGAGACCCCCAUGCUCCCCAAUGCUUGGGAGGCGCUGUGGUUUGACUUGAAUGCUGCUGUGGAGUUAUUGGUGGCUCCCCCAAGCAUAGUUCACAAAUGAACUGAGGUUUGAUGUUGUUUUAGGUACCAUACGUGUUAUUUUCUCAAAAAUAUGUCCUGGAACGUCCCUGCCUCCGAUGGCUUUCUUUGGGGACAUGAGUUCCCUGGCAUGUGGGUGGCAACACUGCCCCCUGCUGGUGUUGGGCAGCAUCAUCAGGCACCCGGGCAAAGGCUCCAGCCUCAGCCUCGGCCGUAGGUCACAGCCGAUUGGACACAGAACCUGAGAUUUUCCUACAAAGUUUAAGAUUUGAACUGAAUACCAUCCAGAGGUGUGAUCCUAAAGCAAUGGCGACAUUGCUACUAGGUUCAAGCAGAACUUACUUUUUCCCUACUGCUCACCAGGUAUUAAAUAUUUAGUGACAUUUCUGUUACCUGGCAUUGUAAUUAUUUCAAAUGAAUUCUUGUGUUCUAUAUUGUUUCGUUUUUAUUGGACUAUGUUUUUCUUUACAUGUAUUGUGGAUACCUUUGUAAAGACUCAUCCAAAUUUAUUUUUUUGCUCCAUAUUUUGUAAGAAUUUUUAGUAAUGCAUUUGCCUUGUCAGUAUGAAUCUUAUAUAAAUUUAUUCUAAUUCAUUUCAUAUUGUGGCUUGCUUUCUAUUUACUGGCAUUUCCUGAAAUACAAUGUCUAUAUUUGCUUUUAUAUGAUAUGUGAAGUACUUGUAAAUUUACAAGUAAAUUUAUUGUGUUUACUUGCAGCCUA